UAGUUUUGAGUAGCUGAACUCUAAUUCUUUCUUUUCUUUCUAUCUAGAAAAUUAAGCAGCUCACCACUGUCUAAAGUCAUGGCUCUUGGAGGACACGAGUUCGUUCUAUACAUUUGUCUUUGAGACUGUCACAGUUUCAGUGACGCCCAGAAAAGCAGUACUUGCAUAUUUUUUGAAGAUCUGGGUUGAAAACGAUUUGAUAUCUUUGCAUCCUUUUUCUUCAGAAUUCGAUCAUAAGCGAGACAUUUUCCUGACUAGUUUUCUUUAGGCUUUCCCUUCUCCUUUUUCUUUUUUGAAAGAGCUACAAUAAAGACCGUCUGAUAAGAGAUUCCUGAUUCAUCCUCAUCUUGGAUUAAGAGCUGCCCAACUUUCUUCUCAGAUAUUCUGUCUCUUGCUGUUCUCUGUUAUCAUAGUCCUAGACCUGGAUUUUGAGCUAAAAAGAAUCAUGCAUCCCUAAGCUGCAUUGCCAACCCUGCACCUUACGCCCUCGACCGCACACGUGGCAAAUCAAUCAUAUUGAUCCUUAAACCCAUAUUCUUAUGUUGUACGGCAAUGGAAGUGUGACAAAGCAAUGGAAAGUCUUUAAUGCAGAUUUUGCAUUAAUAGUUCUCACAUUGACCAGAAUGGCCUCUUUUCACCUCCUUCGUUGAAGGAAAGGGCAUGGUAGCCAGCUCAAAGUUUUUUCUUUUUGCAAGCGGUCUAGCGUCACUUUAUUGGUAACAAUUUCUUCUUUUUGGCCAAUAGAAAUACUAAACUGGUCUGCUCUUAAAGAAGGGUGACCCCACAGUUCUUCACCCAUUCAAGUAAACUGCAGAUACCCAUAGAAGGAAAUUCACAUCACAUGUUCUGAGCCAGAGCAAGACACCUUUCUAUCCUUUUUCUUUCUUUAUGGAGGGAGUUGUAGCAACACACUUUCUGUUAACAUGAAAUGUCAUGAAUACGUGAAAUCCGGGGAACUUUUGCCCAUCCAGGUCCGAUGGAGAAAAUUACAAACGUACCCCUAUAGUUAGUGGGGGCCCCAUCUCUCAAUGGAAUUGACAGGAAGUGUAGGGUGGAGGUGAUAUUUGACCUAAGUGUCAAAAACUCAAAACCCUUUUUCUUGAACGAAGAGGCUGUUUUGUUUAGUUUAGAUCUCUUGGUCUGCUCUUAACUCUGCCUUUGCAUUACUUGGUCCUCACACUCCCUAGAAUCCACAAACGAAUGUUAGGCUUGAGAGACCCACUGUUGUGUAGGGAUGGGUGGUGGCGGUCUCGAUGAAUUUAACCUCGGCCCUUGUGCCUGUUUGGUCAGGUUGAGAGUCAGGCUGCCCUCAGAUUUUUAAAACAGCUAUUAAAGUAAGACUUCUCUUUUGUUUUGAUAUAUUAAGUGUUGGAAACUAAUGUGAGCAUGUGGAAAUAGAAAAAGUGGCACUGUAAUCAUACCACAUUGUUCUUUUUCAUUCAUAAUUAUAUAAUGCAGGAGCUACUUGGAUCCCUACUUCAGACUAACAAUAAUAAUAAAAAAAAGGGUAUAGAUCCUAACUUGGAGGGAAAUUUUUGAGUUGAUGAAGGGUAGGGAAGGAAACCAGAAGCAGACAGUGAUUGCUUGCGCAAAUCUAGCUAAUCUGGGCUUCUUGGGUAAGCAAGGUAAGAGGAAGAGAGAGAGAGGAGGGGCUGAGAGUUUGGGGCUUAAGGCAAGCAAAGCAACAAUGCCCAGUUCAAACCGUACCAUACACACCCAUUUCCCUCAUGUCUUGCCCACAUUUAAUUGGCCUCAUUAUGUUUAGACAGUCAGUCACACAGUUGCAGCAGCGUGGGACAGACAGAAGACACGCACACAAGGCAAAGCCUCAUGUUCUCAGCUUCUUAUUACAACGCAGCACAGUCUAUUUAACAUGUACAUAUAUUUUGCUUUUCUUAUGAUAGGACAAGAGAGAACCCCAUCAUCAAAGGGAUUUAGAAGGAUUGCUUCUCAAAGGAAGGAGGAAAGUAGGAGGAAAAAUCGCUUCUGGAGGGAGUGGUAACAGGAGCGGUGAAAGUAUGGAGAGGCCUCAUGUGGCUGUCACUAUUCGUGAAUCUCGGUUUAUCUUUGUAACCAGAACGUUCGUGAAACAAAUGGGUUUCCCUGGCUUAUGCGUGGGUUGCUCUGGUUAUAAAAGGAACCCCAUUUCCCAAGUCCAAUCUUCGCAACUAGCUCUGCUCUUCCUCCUUUUCUGCUUCCUUGUCUUUUGACGAUGGUGUUGGUGGUGGUGAUAUUGGCGGGACGGCUCAAUCUCUUAAAUUUAUGACAUAGUUCUUCUCCUCCUCUUUUCUUCAUUAUGAUGUUGUUCAUACUGAAAGUUUAUGCAAAAGUUCUUCCUUCUAUUGACACUAACUUGCUGUUUUGGUUUUGCAUUUGUGCCUUACUGCUUCUUGAAGAGAACCCCAUUCCUUCAGAUAUCAAAGAAAGAAACGAAGCAGAUAAAUUUUAUGCAGUAAAUAGCUAGGGGGGCAGUUAAACUGUUUGCUUUAGUUUUUGGAGUCCCUGAAUCUGUAGAGCCAUGAAUGUUCAAACACUGUUUUAUUAUCAAUUUUCAGAUUUUCUGUCAGUCUUUGCUUCUGGACGUCUAUUCCUAAUGUGUUUUCCUUUUCUCCUUGGAAGACGUGGGGCUUCAUUGUAUUCAAAUCAAGUAGGAGAUUUCAUUUCAUUUAUGUAUACUAACAUGGAAACAAAGAAAAUAUAUUCAUGGGAAUGCAUCCUUUGGAUUUUCCUCUUCUA